UUUCUCUCUCCUCUCUCUUUCUAUCUUUCUCUUUCUCUUUCUAAAAUUUGAAUUUAUGGGUCCUGUACUUAGAACCUUCCUUGUAUACAUAUACAUGCCUAUACAUCUACAUUUUUAGGUUAAAUUGAAUAUCGUCAAUUCGUGAUUUCGCUUCUGGUCGCAUAGAUCUGCUGUUAUUUUCAAAGUCAAAAAUUUUCAAACCCUAAGUUAUUGAAAUGCUAUCCAUUCUGUGAAAUUUCUGUAUUGUAGAUCUGAUAAUGGGUUUCUGAUUUGGUGCCGGUCAAAAUGCUGGAUGUUGCACGGAGAUUUGAAUAUAAGAAAUUUCUGUUUUUUCGUUAAUGGGUACUCUGGAAUUUUAAUUUUUGUCGAUGGAAAUCUUAGAGUUCCUUUGUUUGGAUCUGAAAAUAAUUCCAAUCUUUGUUUUUGUUUGGAUUUGAAAUUGAAAUUGAAAAAUGUGAUUUGAAGUUGUACUUCUUCC
rnacentral:misc_RNA from 1 species